GAGUGGAUCCUGAGUACGGCGGAACACGUGAAAUUCCGUCGGAAUCCGGGAGGACCAUCUCCCAAGGCUAAAUACUCCCUAGUGACCGAUAGUGAACCAGUACCGUGAGGGAAAGGUGAAAAGCACCCCGGAAGGGGAGUGAAACAGUUCCUGAAACCGUGUGCCUACAAGUAGUUAGAGCCCGUUAAUGGGUGAUAGCGUGCCUUUUGUAGAAUGAACCGGCGAGUUACGAUUUGUUGCAAGGUUAAGCGGAAAAAGCGGAGCCGUAGCGAAAGCGAGUCUGAAUAGGGCGCAUAAGUAACAGGUCGUAGACCCGAAACCAGGUGAUCUACCCAUGUCCAGGAUGAAGGUAAGGUAAUACUUACUGGAGGUCCGAACCCACGCACGUUGAAAAGUGCGGGGAUGAGGUGUGGGUAGCGGAGAAAUUCCAAUCGAACUUGGAGAUAGCUGGUUCUCUCCGAAAUAGCUUUAGGGCUAGCCUCGAGGUAAAGAGUCAUGGAGGUAGAGCACUGUUUGGACUAGGGGCCCUUCUCGGGUUACCGAAUUCAGAUAAAC
rnacentral:rRNA from 1 species